rnacentral:rRNA from 1 species
UACGUAGGGGUCGAGCGUUGUCCGGAGUUACUGGGCGUAAAGCGUGUGCAGGCGGCUCAUUGCGCCCGGCGUGAAAGCCCCCGGCUCAACCGGGGAGAGUCGUCGGGGACGGGUGAGCUUGGAGGGUAUCAGGGGCUGGUGGAAUUCCCGGUGUAGUGGUGAAAUGCGUAGAGAUCCGAGGAACGACCAGUGGCGGAAGGCGAACACGCUGG